UUGGAACUCUGGUGGUUGGUAGGGCAACCUCCUUCAGUUGGUAGAAAGCAGCGGAAGGAGGAACUCCCUCUGUGCUGUCUUCUCUGCGAUCUCAGCUCUCAGGCUUGUUGUAUCUAGACCCAUUUUAAAUCAAGCAGGUUCCCUUCAGACCAGUCAUCUCAGGGGAUGCAGCUGAGGCGGGGCGUGAGCUGUUAGUGGGGUGCAGCCCCAUAGCCAGGGGUUGGCCCUGCCAGCGUGCCUGUGUUUGAAAGAGGUAAAGUGCUGAACUCUGCAGACUGGGAGGCAAGGGAAGGUCUAAGUUGCUGGAGAGGAGCCAACGUGCCCCAUGGGGAACACACUGAGUUGUUUUUGCCCCAAAGUCCGCCGCAGGCGAGGUCUGCGUAGGCUGUCUGAGGAUCUGUCCAUCUCUGACAUCAGUGAGGCGAUGGCAAGCAUAGGUGCGGGCCAAGACAGAAGGAACAUGUCCAACACCAGUGCCAGACCCAUUUGGGGCCCGAGCUGGCUGUGUGGGGUGGUGUCUGGCAGCUGCGAUGACAUCUAUAAGGCAGUGUCAAGCAUAAGUGCAGACCAAGGCAGAGAGGAGCAGAGGCCGGGCAGAGGGAUCAUGGAGCUCCCCAAUGCAAGACACAAGCAGAGCCAGAAAGGGGUGCAUGGGGCAGAACCAAUAGAGUGGGAGGUGGUGGAAGCGCCAGGCCCUACUGCUGUGGAGCCUGCCCUGUGGGAUUUGGGAGCCGGCGAGGGCCAUGACCUACAACACAUCAGCGACCAGGAGAUGCCCAAAGAUACUGCUUCUGACCAUCCAAGGGCAAGCACACUCUUCCUGAGAAGUGCAAGGAAAGAGGAGAAGCUUUCGCCUAUAUUCUGGACAUGGAUGAAUCUGUAGAACAUCAUCCUCAGCAAACUGACACAAGAACAGAAAAUGAAACACCGCAUAUUCUCACUCAAAGGCUAUGUCACGGCCGUGUGAAUACAAAGACCUGCAUCAAGAUGCUGCUGCUAUGACAAGGAUCGUCAGCAUGGAUUUCAUCAGGAUUCAGCAUACUAAUGCCAUCUUAUCUUAAAGAGAGAAAUUAGCAUUAUAAGGUCCUGGACUUGUCAGCUAUAAGGACUACAAAAUAUCACUUCUCCUGCUGAAAAAGACCAGCAAAAUUAGGAUUUUCUUUUUUCACGUUUUUUUUUUUUAAUUUCUGUUGUUGUUGUUGUUGUUGUUGCUGUUGUUGUUGAUUAGGAUUUUCAUAGAGCAGAGACUUCUUCAAAUAACCACACUGUGAAGCUGGGUGAUGGUGGCAUGAACAGUGGGUGCCAGGUGCUACCUGCCCUUCUUGUUCCACUGAGUCCAGAUGGCAUUCUAGGGCACCACCUUCUUGAACAACUCUUGGGGAGGAAGACUGUCACAUGGACACAGCACAUCCCAGUCCAGAGUCCACAGUCACCCGCAGCCCCAAGCAGGUGACAGUCUGAGCUGAGCUGGAAUUCAAAAAACUUUAGAAUUGGCUCCAGAUUUGUGAGAGGACCUGGAUUUGGAUCUCUGUCCAUGAGGCACUGAAUGCACGAUGACCGGAAACAACAACUGUGGGAAGAGAGAAUGGCAUGGGGACAAGGCUGUCAUUACUCCAAGUACCAUGGGAACUCAGGCCUGUUCAUCUAGUCUUUGGAGGGAAUCUGUGCAUGUGAAAUGAGGCUCCCACAUCAUGGUUAUUAAGGCAGAAAUGAAAUCAGCUCAUUUUCCCCCAGGCCCACAAUGGUCAUGCCAAAACACAGAGGCUUGCUGUGUUGCCAGGCUGGAGCACAGUGGCAGGAUCUCAGCUUUCUGCAACCUUCUCCUCCCAGGUUCAAGUGACUCUCCUGCCUCAGCCUCCCAAGUAGCUGGGACUGCAGGCAUGAACCACCAACUCAGCUAAUUUAUAUAUUCUUAGUAGAGACCGGGUUUCAUUACGGUGGCCAGGACAGUCUUGAUCUCUUGACCUCAUUCUGCCUGCCUCCGCCUCCCAAAGUGCUGGGAUUACAGGUGAGAGCCACCGUGCCCAGCCUCUUGCAUUUACCAUUCACAAUAAAGCAGUUUGGAAUAUCCCACUGUUGAUUUGUGAUUUCCUCCUCCAAACAUAGUCUGUGGCUCUGUAUUCAUAAUUGAAUAGUUUUGUGUAUUGAUAUUUUGUGUCUGAAGAUGAAAUAUUAGAUGAAACAUGUUAAAACA